rnacentral:rRNA from 1 species
AACGAACGCUGGCGGCAGGCUUAACACAUGCAAGUCGAGCGCCCCGCAAGGGGAGCGGCAGACGGGUGAGUAACGCGUGGGAAUCUACCCAUCUCUACGGAAUAACGCAUGGAAACGUGUGCUAAUACCGUAUACGUCCUUCGGGAGAAAGAUUUAUCGGAGAUGGAUGAGCCCGCGUUGGAUUAGCUAGUUGGUGGGGUAAAGGCCUACCAAGGCGACGAUCCAUAGCUGGUCUGAGAGGAUGAUCAGCCACACUGGGACUGAGACACGGCCCAGACUCCUACGGGAGGCAGCAGUGGGGAAUAUUGAACAAUGGGCGCAAGCCUGAUCCAGCCAUGCCGCGUGAGUGAUGAAGGCCCUAGGGUUGUAAAGCUCUUUCACCGGUGAAGAUAAUGACGGUAACCAGAGAAGAAGCCCCGGCUAACUUCGUGCCAGCCGCCGCCGUAAUAC